UUGAACGUCUACAUAUCCCCCUGAAUAAUUGGGAGAUGGCAUCUAGCAAGGAACACUUUGGCAUAAAGACCCUUCAAAGCUGUGACUAUCUGCUUAGCACUGUUUUUGUUGAACCUGGUUCAUCAGCUUAAACUCCUGUCAACAGCAAAGUAAGGUCCCUAGUUCAGGAGGUUGAACUGAAUGAUGCUGAAAUUGCUAGGCUUUUAA
rnacentral:lncRNA from 1 species